rnacentral:rRNA from 1 species
UUAUCACCCCUCAAGCCUAGCUUGGUGUUGGGACCUGCUGUUAAGGCAGUCCCUAAAAUCAGUGGCAGUGCUGUCAGGCUCUAAGCGUAGUAAUUUCUCUCGCUAUGGUGCCCUGGUAGAUACUCGCCAGAACCCCCCCAUUUUUAAUGAUUGACCUCGGAUUAGGUAGGGAUACCCGCUGAACUUAAGCAUAUCAAUAAGCGGAGGAAAAGAAACCAACAGGGAUUGCCUCAGUAACGGCGAGUGAAGCGGCAAAAGCUCAAAUUUGAAAUCUGGCUCUUUUAGGGUCCGAGUUGUAAUUUGUAGAAGAUGUUUCGGGUGUGGCUCCGGUUUAAGUUCUUUGGAAUAUUACAUCAUAGGGGGUGAGAAUCCCGUAUGUGACCGGCAGCCUUCGCCUAUGUGAAACUCUUUCGACGAGUCGAGUUGUUUGGGAAUGCAGCUCAAAAUGGGAGGUAUAUUUCUUCUAAAGCUAAAUAUUGGCCAGAGACCGAUAGCGCACAAGUAGAGUGAUCGAAAGAUGAAAAGCACUUUGGAAAGAGAGUUAAACAGUACGUGAAAUUGUUGAAAGGGAAGCGCUUGCAACCAGACUUGCACGCAGUUGAUCAUCCGGUGUUCUCACCGGGGCACUCUGCUGCGUUCAGGCCAGCAUCGGUUUUGGUGGUUGGAUAAAGGCCUUGGGAAUGUGGCUUCCUUCGGGGAGUGU